AGUCAAUGAACUUGAAUAAGUGUAUACUUUGAAAGUAUAAAAUAGAGAAAAAUCUCUAUUGACUU
rnacentral:tRNA from 1 species